CCUACGGGGGGCAGCAGUGGGGAAUAUUGGACAAUGGGGGGAACCCUGAUCCAGCCAUGCCGCGUGUGUGAAGAAGGCCCUCGGGUUGUAAAGCACUUUCAGUGAGGAAGAACGCCUGGUGGUUAAUACCCAUCAGGAAAGACAUCACUCACAGAAGAAGCACCGGCUAACUCCGUGCCAGCAGCCGCGGUAAUACGGAGGGUGCGAGCGUUAAUCGGAAUUACUGGGCGUAAAGCGCGCGUAGGUGGCUUGAUAAGCCGGUUGUGAAAGCCCCGGGCUCAACCUGGGAACGGCAUCCGGAACUGUCAAGCUAGAGUGCAGGAGAGGAAGGUAGAAUUCCCGGUGUAGCGGUGAAAUGCGUAGAGAUCGGGAGGAAUACCAGUGGCGAAGGCGGCCUUCUAGACUGACACUGACACUGAGGUGCGAAAGCGUGGGUAGCAAACAGGAUUAGAUACCCCAGUAGUC
rnacentral:rRNA from 1 species